CAUUGGAUGGCUCAAUGGUCGAGCAUCGGUGUUUUGAUACCGACGACGCGGGUUCGAUUCCCGCUCCAACGC
rnacentral:tRNA from 1 species